GUUUUCAGCCUUUACAGAACAGCAAUAAGGUUUAACUCCAAAGUGCAACAUGAGAUUCAUUUUUAAUUGUUUACUGUGCAUUUGCCUUUCAACUUCUCUUCUUCCCUUUGUCAUUAGCUUUCCCCAUGCCUUCCCAUCUUUUUGCUUUGAAAGUAAUUUUAAUUAUUACUUAAAAAGUAAGAAAGAAGAAACUGGUGUUUUUGGCCUUGAUGUGACCCACCUUAGAUUGCAACCAUCUUGGAUCCUUCCUCAUGAGCAAAAGACUCGCUCAGUGGUCAACAUAAGUAAUAUAAUGUAGGUCUGUUCUUUCUCUAGUUUUCUUUUAAGGUAGAACUUCACCUGCCCCAGCACACUGUAACAAGUUUAUUACCCAUAAAAACAUAUUUUAAUGCCAACAGUUAAUUAAAUGUCAUAUUCCAAUGUUGCUCACAACAAUAAUAUACAACUUGCACAAAACAUGGUUGAUUUGACAAGAAAUGUUUUGCAGGCUGACAAUAUAUAUAGAUAUAUAGAUAUAGUUGUCUUUCUUAUUAAAGGAUUUAUUAUGCCAGGAGUCAUGCAAAGAAUUCAAAGCAGUAAACACAAGAGGAACAAUCACUUGUUGACAUUACCAAACCAUUCAAAUACAGAAACAGUAAGCUAUAGGGAAAUAUAUACAUACACUGUUUUGUUGUGGUUGUUUUUGUGGUCCCCUUCUGUGUUAUAUUAAAACAUUGCUCCCACCCCACUGGGUCCUUAUUAAAGAUAAGUCCAAAAAUAGGAUUUGGAGUAUUUUCUACCAAUACAGACCACCAAUAUAAACACUUGAGAUUUCAACCAUAGAUCCCUAUGAAUUAGGCACUUAACCAUUGGCUGGGAGUGGUGGCAGGAAUCAGCAACACAAGUAUCCCUCUCCAAAGCCAAUAUUAAUUCUUAGACACAGAGUCCUUAAAUCAUUUGAAGUUAGAGGUUGUCAUAUGCCAUAUACAUCAUCUUUUCCCCUCAACCCAUGCAUUAUGUAUAUGAAUUUCAGUUUGAACACCAUUUAAAGCAGUGGUUUUCAAACCAUGCUCCUAAGAAUCCCAAUGGUUGUAGUAGCGAGCAACAUUUCAUGUAAAAUCUUGUCUGCUAUCUCUCAUCUUCUCGUAGAAGAAUCCCCAAUUAGAACAAUUAUAGGGAACAAGCUUACAUGAAAGCUGGGCCACCACUUUGGACUUUGCCAUGAAUUGCAAGGGGAAUUUUGGCUGUAUACUAGGGGAUUACUCAGCAAUGUGGAGAGUGAGUCACAAUGUGGACAAGCAUGUACCCUAGAAUAUAUGACAUCCCACCAUCCUUUACACUAUGCAGGGAUUCAAUUGCAAAUGAUCUGGAGGAGCUCCACAGUAGAUGGUGAUGCAAAAAUCCUUCCCUAACAGAAGAAAAGUUGAAAACCAUGGCAUUAGAACUGUAACCUCAUGAAAUUGGACCUCCUUAAUGCAGUAGUGCACAGCACCGUCACCAAACUCAUCCAAUAUGAACAGAGGAUGACUUGUAUGUAUCCUUGCAGUCAAAAUAUAGACCUGAGGAAGUGUAACAAGAUGAUUCUGAAAACAAGAUAGCUAUACGGAUAUGCCAUUUACUAUCCUUUUUGGGGGAAUCUCGGCUUUUUCGUUUCUAUACUUUCUGGCUUCUCCAAAAAGGUAUAAAAGAAAGACACGGUGAACAAUUAUUACAAGAUGUUUUCUCCGAUGUAAGGGUUCAAAGUAGACAUGAUAUAUUUAUUUUCUCUCCUUGACACAAAGUAUUCAGAUACAUUGUUACCGAGGAAAUGGUUGAAAUUCACAUUUUAUAACAAUAUAUUGUUAAGAGAAAUUGUUCCAAGGCAAUUACUAUAUCAUGUAUCGUUUCUUUUUCUUUCAAUGGUUGAAUAUUGUAUAUUACAUAAGAAAUAACAUUUUUGAGUACUAGGUCUGCAAAAAGAAAACACACCUUGUUUCAAUGGUUUUCAGACGCAGGGUAGGAAUUGAUAUAAGGAAGUCAUUGGGUUAUACUUUUAUUGAGAGAGAACAGAGAGAGUUCAUGUUUUGCUAUAUAUUUCUUUUGGUUUUUCUGCUGUUUUCCUCCAAACUGUAUUAUUGCAUAAUUGCUAAAAUGUAUAAAUUUGUAAACCAGGUAAUUGGCAGUGAUACAAUGGAGGCGACCAUUAUUGUUAAUAAUUGUUUACUCUGUUCUGUUAUUUUAUAAAAAUCUAAUAAAGAAUAUUUAAAAAAAAAA